rnacentral:rRNA from 1 species
GACAGAGGGGGCAAGCGUUGCUCGGAAUCACUGGGCGUAAAGGGCGCGUAGGCGGGAUGGCAAGUCAGUCGUGAAAUCUCUCGGCUCAACCGAGAAACGUCGGCUGACACUGCCGUUCUUGAGGGAUGCAGAGGAGACUGGAAUUCCCGGUGUAGCGGUGAAAUGUGUAGAGAUCGGGAGGAACACCGGUGGCGAAGGCGGGUCUCUGGGCAAUAACUGACGCUGAGGAGCGAAAGCGUGGGGAGCGAACAGG